GAAGGGGGCUAGCGUUGCUCGGAAUUACUGGGCGUAAAGGGAGCGUAGGCGGAUAGUUUAGUCAGAGGUGAAAGCCCAGGGCUCAACCCUGGAAUUGCCUUUGAUACUGGCUAUCUUGAGUACGGGAGAGGUGUGUGGAACUCCGAGUGUAGAGGUGAAAUUCGUAGAUAUUCGGAAGAACACCAGUGGCGAAGGCGACACACUGGCCCGUUACUGACGCUGAGGCUCGAAAGCGUGGGGAGCAAACAGGAUUAGAUACCCUGGUAGUCCACGCCGUAAACGAUGAGUGCUAGUUGUCGGCAUGCAUGCAUGUCGGUGACGCAGCUAACGCAUUAAGCACUCCGCCUGGGGAGUACGGUCGCAAGAUUA
rnacentral:rRNA from 1 species